rnacentral:rRNA from 1 species
GUAGGAUGCAAGCGUUAUCCGGAUUUACUGGGUGUAAAGGGAGCGCAGGCGGGACUGCAAGUUGGAUGUGAAAUACCGUGGCUUAACCACGGAACUGCAUCCAAAACUGUAGUUCUUGAGUGAAGUAGAGGCAAGCGGAAUUCCGAGUGUAGCGGUGAAAUGCGUAGAUAUUCGGAGGAACACCAGUGGCGAAGGCGGCUUGCUGGGCUUUAACUGACGCUGAGGCUCGAAAGUGUGGGGAGCAAACAGGAUUAGAUACCCUGGUAGUCCACGCGGUAAACGAUGAAUGCUAGGUGUUGGGGAGCAAAGCUCCUCGGUGCCGCCGCAAACGCAAUAAGCAUUCCACCUGGGGAGU